rnacentral:lncRNA from 1 species
UUUUUUUUUUUUUUUUUUUUUUGGUUUUUGGUCUCUCUCUGGAUUAGCUAGGAGGCUGCUUUGGGGUGAGGCACAACGUGAGUGGUCCAUAUUCUCUGUGCUGCGGCUGGCCCAGGUGAGGCACUGGGGUCCAGGAGGAGAAACAAAUAGGCGCAGACCUAGGAGAUGGAGGUUUGGAGGCAGAUCCAGGUCAGCAGGGAACCAGAGGGACACUUGGCUUUGCUGAGAAACCUGAUGCUGCAAAGUGGGCUGAGUGUAGGCAGGGCAGAGAAGCCCUAUCUGUGUAUUCUGUUGUGUGCUCCUGUGACUCAGCUUGCACCCUGGGCAAUUUCAGAGUUCUGCUUCUUGAUGAACUUUGUUUCCACGCCUGACCAUCUGGCUUGGCUUUGCUGACCCUGGUGAGGGUUAGGUGGACCACAGGCUUUCUAGGGAGGCCUCUGUUGUCUCCCACCUUGGCUGGUGUUCAUUUCAGCCCUUCUAUUGGCCUCUGGCAUUUCCAGGACUUUGGAAUCAGGAGUUGAGAGCAGAGGAAAGGAAAGGAGAGCACUUCACAUCCCCCCUUGUAUCUUCAGCUGCUGUUUCCCUGAGGGGAAAUAAACUUAAAACUGAAAAUCCAGGGGCUUCUAGCCACAGCUCUUAUGAGAGGGCAAGGCCACAGAAAUCCUGAGGUUCAUGCUGGGGGGAAUGGGGACGCCUCCACCUUUGGUGAAAGCAUGUGGGUUGGUGGCCCGGCUGGCUCUGAUUGUUUGGUCUCAUCACGAGCAUUAGACAGGCCUUGCUUUCUCACCUCCCCGCUGCGCCCCCCCCCCCCCCCCAAACAAAUUACCAAAUGAGUGGCUGAGGUCAAGCUUGAUGGAAGCACAGAUACCCAAGACAUGCUUGUUGAAUGAAAGGGUGAAUGAAUGAAUGGGAAGUGACAUCUUUGUUCCACAGAGCUGCUCACUCUCUGCUUGCUCUCUGAAAUACCCCUGGCUUUGCACAGAACGUAUGUGAGGAAUGGUUCAUGUGUUUUUCCUUAAUACACACCCCAGCACCGCUCACAGCUACAUUUGUGACAUGACCAUCUCAGGCUGACACCAGAGGAGAAGAACCCAUCAAGCUGGCCUGGAGGCUUAUUACCAAUCAAGCCUUGAACAGAUGCAGCUCUUCCUGCUCCUCAUUGCCGAUACAGGCUACCCUACUUUAAAAAUUCACACCUUAGUAGCCCAAAGGCAUGACCUUUUUCACAAGAUCUGAAAAAAAUAUCACCUACCUGGUUUCCAGUUGUAAUUUCAGUCUGUAACCUUUUGAUUUGCAAGAUAAAUACUAUAAGAGAGACUUGCAAUAUGGCCCAAUUUUCGGGGCAGCUGUGAACUGAAUGGUAAUUACUUGCUAAGAGUUGCAGAACAUCAUUUGAAUGAACUCCGAGGUACAGUCACAUCAUGGCUAGAAAGCAUAAGCAAGACAAAUACCUAUUCUAAAUUUGUUGUAUGUAGUUCUGAUUCUUUUCCAUAUAAAAAUUAGGUUAAACAAAUAAUAAUGCCCUAUUAGCUUCCCCUUGAACAAACUAAAAUAAAUUUUUUUUUCAGGAAAUAAUUGGUCAGAUUAUCAAAUGAACUCUUUCUCAGUUCCUUGACCUAGUUCUGUGUAAGAUGUACACAACUCUGUUUUGUUUCCUAGAAACUCCAAAUGACUUAGCAUCUCCUAUAGAUCAUCAGCCAGGAGCUCUUGGGGCCCUGCUGGCAUCUCCCCACAUACUCAUCUUGGAUCUAGCCCAAGGGAAAAGAUGGAGUAGGAAGGCAGUCUGGGCAGACAAGCACUAGGGUACAACCCACAGUCAGAGAGGACAUUCCACAGGAGGAGCUGGGUGAGUGCCCUAACCAUUUCCCACUCUUUCACAUUAGCCUGUUUGAUGAGCAUUACAGCACUUGUCACCAGCUGUAAUGAUGUUCUCCUGGCUUUAUUUACUAAGAUGAUGUGAUGCAUGGCUCUUCACUGGACACAAGCUCUGUGAGUAGGGACUCAGGUCUGAGCUGUUCACCUCUAUGUGUCUAGCUCCAAGAACAGUGCCUGACAGAUAAUAGAUACUCAAGACUUGAUGUUGAAUAAAUGAGUGAAUGGGAAGCAACAAUCUACAGAGCUGCCCAAUCUCCCCUUCACCUCUGUAGUAUUCCUGGCUUUGCACAGAGUAGGUGUGAGGAAGCAGUUUAGGAGAUUCUCAUUAAAGCUGAAAAAGAACAGGUGAGAACCUAAGCUCAGAAGUGGGGCUAAGAGUUAUAAAAUCAGAAGGAUGCACCAAGGUUCAUGGUUAGAAACCCCAAGAACCUGGCAUUACAGCCUAGAGACAACUGCCAUGAUGGUGUCGCAGGUCUUUAUUUUUUAAGACCGGAAAUAACUAUAGAAAGACAGGAAGGAGAGGAAAAGAAGAAAGGAGAGGCAGAAAGGAGGGAAGUCAGGCACUAAGCAAAGAGCUCACAGAAAGAGGCUGAGAACAACUGUAUGAUCCUGUUCAGAAUUUAUAAUGUGUCUGUGGGCCUGGGUGAAAAUGGCCCAUGGCAGCAGACAUGGGGCAGCUGUGGAAGACAGACACAAACCUCUUUGGUUCCAAGGACGAGAAGCAGUGCUUUGACUGUCUCUUCUUCCAGAUCCAUCCGUGUGUAGACAUAAACUCUGACACACAUGUGCCACAGUUCCCACAAAGGCCUUUUUUCCUGACCUAACCUACCAGCAACAACCUGAGUGCGCAAGUGUCGACCUGAAGGCGGGCAGCCAACAUGCUGAAUUCAACGGGGCCUGAAGGGGGACGUUUCUUUUAACCUUGUUUACAAAUUUCUUCACACUACCAGGGAUGUUCACUCCUAAUUCUCAGACCUUUAAUUUUUCAGCCACCCUUUCUGUUUAAAAUGUAACUUGCUAACUACCAGCAACGGAAGAACAUUUGGGAUAGCCUCAAUGUUUUUCACGAAUGUAUGUGGCCUUUUGUUUUUAUAUCUCUGAAACACUUAUAAAGGGGAGGGAAAAUAUAGGUUUCAGCUGAAAUGGCUACUUCCUAUUUUGGAAUGAGACCCUGGAUACUGUUAGCAAAUGCCUACUGUGUGUU